GAUGAAGAACGCAGCGAACUGCGAUAAGUAAUGUGAAUUGCAGAAUUCAGUGAAUCAUCGAGUCUUUGAACGCACAUUGCGCCCCCUGGUAUUCCGGGGGGCAUGCCUGUCCGAGCGUCAUUGCUGCCCUCAAGCCCCCGGGCUUGUGUUGGGGACCUGCGGCUGCCCGCAGGCCCUGAAAACCAGUGGCGGGCUCGCUGUCACACCGAGCGUAGUAGCAUCAUCUCGCUCAGGGCGUGCUGCGGGUUCCGGCCGUUAAAAAGCCUCUAAUACCCAAGGUUGACCUCGGAUCAGGUAGGAAGACCCGCUGAACUUAAGCAUAUCAAUAAGCGGAGGA
rnacentral:misc_RNA from 1 species